GCGGAGAGAGAACAGCAAACUUGUGAUUCUUGAACGGUGGUUCUGGCUGGUACACAGAAACUUCCAAACCUCGCAGCUGGGAAGACCAGAGGCUGGAGUAGCUGCUUUGGAGAACACAAAUGGCUAGAAGGAAACAACCCUCAGGAAAGAUCACUUGUUGCUGUUGUUACUACUAGCACAGCUGUUUCUGUGACUUGUGUUUUUAGGAGUCUCUCAGGAUACAGUCAAAAGAAAGGUCUCCAAAACAAAGUGCCUGAAGCAAGGGAUGGCACUGGCCUUGAUCCACCCUAACAAGCGUGCAUACUCUUUGGCUCCCCUGAAUCUGAAGGAGGAGCUUCAGGGAUUCAAAGUUCAAGGGGACAGAAAAGGCGUUGGGCAGGAGCCAUUGU
rnacentral:lncRNA from 1 species